UCCGUCGGUGGCCAUCAGCCCUCGCACUGAUGGCCAGGUGGUUCCUCGGAAAGGAGGAAUUAGAAAUACAUGAAAUUAGAGUCAGAAAAACCUAAGUUAACCUUAAAAUAAAGCUGCCAGUUAUUACCAACAAAAGAUAGGUUUGGGGAAUAAAAGAGAGUUGUAAUCCAGGACGAACAAACUGCCGUAGGCAGUCGAGGAACAAAGGAGAGGUACCCAGUUUUACGGAGAAAAGGGACUACUACCCACAAGACCCACGAGUGUAUGCUUUCAGCCCAGCAUGCAUUCCUUUGUGCUCAGCUAGGUACAAAAUGUCUUUCUCCCCACGUGGCCCACGAUCCAGCUUCCUGUCCCAACUUCAGCCAUCCAGACCUUCUAUGGAUCCCAGCGCAGCAGUGAUGCCCCUUCAAGCUCUCCCUCCAUGGCCUGCAUCGGAAGCUGGAAUCCACAUCAGAGAUAAAAGGCCAGAAUUUCUCUGGAUGUUUGAGGAAAAUUGUCUUGAUGACAUGUUUUUUUUUUUAA